UCACAGGCAGAGUUUGUUUCUGAGAGCUGUCUCUGUUGUUGAAAGGGUAAGUGGUGGGCUUUCGAUCCAAGAAUGAGAACAGCAUAGUUAUUCCCACAUCAGUCUGGAAAUAACUGAUCAGCCUUUGCAGAUGGAUCUGGGUUCUCUUGCCGCAUGAUAUAAGCAUUACAGCAUUAAAGUAUUUUAGAGAACAGCAACGUGGACUGCAAAUGGGCUUGCCUCAGGUUCAAAUUCCCAACAUAAUUCUGCCUGUUCUUCAGUAUGAGACUUCCCCUAAGAAUAAAACAGAUGUUCUGCAGCAGCUGUCAAGAAUACAGCAAAAGCAGUCAUGCAUGCCUUCUUUACGCCACUGUAGUAUGCACUUACAAUGCGUGGAACGGAGCAGCAGAGACGGAAAAAGGGCCAUCAAAUCAAUGCUCAAUAGUAUAAACUAUUGAAAAGGAACUAGCCACUUUACCUCCCAUGGGAAAAAGAGUAUGUGAGCAGUGUAAACCUUCCUGCCUCAGUAUGAAACUCCACUUAAGCCAUUGGAGGCUGUUGACAUGUCAAGAAUAACAAACGCCAACCUUCGGGUUUAGGUAAGCGAGUUUCACAGAAGGACUGAUUCAUAUAAAGAUCAAUUUUGGUUAAUAAUUAGCAAUAAACACAAAAGGACGGACUAGCCAGUGUGUGGGCUUUUAGAGUAAAAACAAUAAUCUCUUCAUGUAGUUUAAUUCCAUUGCUUAUACACUGACUAGCUGAAUCUCUUACAUCUCUGUGCAUUUCUGGUUGGGCGAAUGAUGAAAAAGAAGCCGCUCAGAAUCUUCACCUACUUAUAAUACCAAGCAUAUGCUGCUGUAGCUAACAACUGAGUAUGAUGGCCAAGCAUGAAGUCUUGUCUUGUAUCCAAACUCUGUCCAAAUAUUAGCUCCCUGAUUAUUAUAAGGACGUAAUUUGCCCAGAAAGGAGGAUUGGCUUCCCCAUUUUGGAAUAAAAUACAUGUAUUAAAGGAAGAGGGAAGCGGCUUGGUUCGCUUUGGUUCUUCUUCCUGGGUUCCAUGUAUCUACUAUCAUGGAUGUUGGGACCUUCCUGAGAGCACACGCUGCCAUUUGUGCUGUGCUGUCACACCAGCUCCAGCCUCCCUGCUGCUGUGUCCUAGCUCCUUAGGAGCAAGGUGGACCAGCUCUUUGAAGACCUGUCGCAGAGGGGAAGGCAUUUCUCAAGGAAACAUAUACUUACACUUUCUGGAAAGCACCAGUGGGUGCUGCAAAGGACCAUACUGGCCUCACCAUUUCUUCCAGACCACUGCUUCCUUGCAUCUAAUCUGUCAACUGAGCUGGGAUACUGCUGAGACUGUGUCUUAUACAGUCAGAAGCAUGGUAGCCUUCGGAAGAAAAUAUUCAGCCCUGGAAGAUCUCCACUGUACACAAAGCUGAAAGGUCUAGUCCUAUUCUGAAUAUGGACUUCAGGAUUUAGCCAAUGCUUAAUGUUCAACAAUUAGUGGACCAUAUAAACAGCAUCCCCCUGACCCACCCCCUCCCCCACAUUCACAGAGUAAUGACACCAGUUAAUACUAGCAUUAGCUGUGGCUAAUGCAUGCAUAUUCCAAAUGAUCAGCAUCACAACAAUUAACCUGAAGGUUGUUCCAUGACAGAUCAUUUCAAACAAUGUUACUGUGUCACACCAGGGAUGAACUGCAGCCUUCAUAGAAAAGAAAGUAGAAAGGUCUGCAAUUUUCUGUUAGUAGCUUUGGCCCAACAUUGAUAAGCUUAAAGCAACUUAAGCAAUUAGUCGAGAGACAAAGCUAAAACAAACAAGCAAACAGCCUCCUCUACCACAAAAAAAAAAAAAAAAGCUUGAGCCCAAGAAUGAUUUUAGGUCAGAUUUUCACUGAAAGUGCCAACUGACAAAUUGCACUGAUUCAAUAAGACAUUCUGUGAUUGCAAGAAUGAAAAAAAAGUUUUCCUAUUAAUGCUGUUGUAUCCUAGGAUGGGAUAGAGAGGACGCCAUAGAUAGAUAAACAAUGGAAUUAGGGAGUUUACCUAUAAAGCAGAGAAGCUCUUCAAAGAGAUAUGGAUCUACAUUGAUUCAAGCAUAGGCCCUUGAUCGUGUUCAAGUCUUCCACCUAAAGCGUUUGCACAAAAGGGCUUAUGCAGACUAGAUGCUUAGAUCUGAGAAGGUCCUGGGAGACCAGUGAAAUUUGACCAUGUACAGCAUGGACAUCCUCCACACAACUUCCAGCAACAUGGGGGUGCAGAAGUCACCCAGGACUGCGCUGUGAUGUCUGCUCGCAGAUCUGGGCUCCUGUAGCACCCAGUGAAGGCAUAGCCUAUUGAAGCCCAGUGAAGGCUCAGCCUCACUGUGUCAUUUCAGUGACUGAGUCUAGGAGACAAAGAAAAGAUUUGAUCCUUCUCCUCCCCAAAUUAACUUCAGGUACUACAGGGACUUAUUUUUAUGACACAUGAUUUAUAUAUUAGCGCUGAAGGCACAGCAGAAAGUGACUGACCAUUUCUACCUAGAUCCAAGUGUUAUGCUGUUUGAACCCUUGGUGUCCCAUACACAGAAAUAAAAUGCUCUGUAGCUCUAUCUUUUACUGCAUCACCAAGCUGCCAUGCCAGAGGAGUUCAACCAGCAAGAAGAAUCUCCUUACCCUUUCCCAAACCCUUAAAAAAAGACAAGCUCUUUUACCUGUUUCGAUGUGCUGCAGAAACUCUUGUGCUGUCACCCUCUCGUGAGGCUGCAGGAUGGGCUUGUACAGCUGCCUGCCUUUAGAGGUGUU